GAUGAAGAACGCAGCGAAAUGCGAUAAGUAAUGUGAAUUGCAGAAUUCAGUGAAUCAUCGAAUCUUUGAACGCACAUUGCGCCCCUUGGUAUUCCGAGGGGCAUGCCUGUUCGAGCGUCAUAUUAACCACUCCCGCUUGCGGGGUCUUGGGCUUCGCCUCCGGGCGGGCCUUAAAAUCAGUGGCGGUGCCGUCGGGCUCUACGCGCAGUAAAUUUUCUCGCGAUAGGGUCCCGGUGGAUGCUUGCCAACAACCCCCAACUUCUUAAGGUUGACCUCGGAUCAGGUAGGGAUACCCGCUGAACUUAAGCAUAUCAAUAAGCGGAGGA
rnacentral:misc_RNA from 1 species